UAGACAGUACAGAGACAGGUCAUUAAGGAGCAGGUAGGGGUUAGACAGUACAGAGACAGGUCAUUAAGGAGCAGGUAGGGGUUAGACAGUACAGAGACAGGUCAUUAAGGAGCAGGUAGGGGUUAGACAGUACAGAGACAGUUCAUUAAGGAGCAGGUAGGGGUUAGACAGUACAGAGACAGGUCAUUAAGGAGCAGGUAGGGGUUAGACAGUACAGAGGCAGGUCAUUAAGGAGCAGGUAGGGGUUGACAGUGAACACAGAGGGAAUAGGAUGCUCAAUAUUUUCACCCUUGCUAUCGUUUAUAUUAGCAGGAACUGGGCCAAGCCUUCAGUAUUAUUAUGAGAUGGAGGAGAUAAGUAAUACAUUCGUAAUUGAAAGGCAUCAAAUAAAUUGUAUGAAUCAGAAACUUCAUUAAAUAUAUGGAG
ensembl:lncRNA